rnacentral:rRNA from 1 species
UAUUCAUAUAGUACACGCAACUUGCCACGCAUGGCCUCUUUGUUCCUAUAUAAAAGCAGUUUACAACUCAGAAAGCUGUCUUCCUGCACGCGGCAUGGCUGGGUCAGAGUUGCCUCCAUUGCCCAAUAUUCCC